rnacentral:lncRNA from 1 species
GCAGAAUCAAAAUUUUCCACCAAACCUUUCACUCUCAGAACCUUCAAAAAUCUCACCCAACCAUUCCGAGCCUUCGACGCCGAUACCAAGAGAAGGCAACCGUACAUGAUUACACUAAAUCUGAAGCAUUUAUUUUCCCCAAAGUCUCAGGAAUCGUCCAGCGCGAACACAAAAUCCAAAAGGUUUUCCAGCGCCAAAUCUGACGCAGGCAAGUUUGUAGUCUCCGACCAUGGGUCAACCAGAAGGUAAUUGGAAUUUUCAGUUUUUGGCCCCUAUAGCACCGGCUUCGCGAUUGGUGGAGAUUAUGGGAAUAAUGCAGGAUUAUAGAAUGUUGUUUUGGGUAAAUUGGAGCCGUGGGUAGAGCCGUCUAGGGGUGGGCAAUGGGCCAGUGGUGGUAAGUGACCUUGGGUGUCGUCGGAGGUGGAGAUUCCGGUAAAAGCAUUUUUGCGACAAAUCAAUUUUUUUGGGAUGAUUUCUAAUCGAUUUUGGUAUUUUUUGGCUCCUUUGGAAAUUUUGUUAUGUUAGCAAAAUGGAUUCUGGUCAAAGAAAAUUGCUAUGCAUUGUUGUUGUUGUGGUGGGGGGUAAUUGGUGAGCUUUUGGGAGCAGUUAAAAUGAUUUUAAUAUUUUGUAUGAUUUCAGAAGUGGAUUGGAAAAUCCACAACUGUUGAAAUGGCCGACCAAGGGGAAUGAUCUAUGUGUCCCUCCUGCAUGGCCUCAUGUGUUUUGUUAGAAUGGCAGACUCACGUAGAUUCAGGUUCAGGGGCCUCAAGUUAAAGGGACAUUUGCCUCAGAAUUUCAAUCAGUUGGACAAAGUAAAGAAUCUUGGACUUCAAAGGAGCCAUUUCAAUGGAAAACUACCAAGUUUUAGUGGAUUGUCGAAUUUGUAAUUUGUAUACUUGGAUAAUAAUGAUUUUGAUAUGAUUCUUGCUAAUUUUUUUCAUGGACUUAGUAGUGUGAAGUAGCAGAGUCUUUGGAUGUAUUAGUUAAGUAGUGUGCUA